rnacentral:rRNA from 1 species
GACAAACGCUGGCGGUAUGCCUAACACAUGCAAGUCGAACGGACAGAACAGGGAAGCUUUUCGGAGUGGAACUGGAAAGUUAGUGGCGGAUGGGUGAGUAACGCGUGGACAACCUACCUUGUAAAGGGGAAUAACCUCGAGAAAUCGAAGCUAAUACCCCAUAAUAACCUUGCUUCGCAUGAAGUAAGGAGGAAAGGCGGCCUUAGCGCUGUCGAUACAAGAUGGGUCCGCGUCUGAUUAGCUAGUUGGUGAGGUAAAGGCUCACCAAGGCGACGAUCAGUAGCCGGCCUGAGAGGGUGAACGGCCACAUUGGGACUGAGACACGGCCCAAACUCCUACGGGAGGCAGCAGUGGGGAAUCUUCCGCAAAGGGCGAAAGCCUGACGGAGCAAUGCCGCGUGAGUGAAGAAGGCCUUCGGGUUGUAAAACUCUGUCCUUAUCGAAGAGAGAGUGUUGUAGUAACUGACAAUACUAGGACGGUAGAUGAGGAGGAAGCCCCGGCUAACUAUGUG